AGUUGCCAGCAGUUCGGCUGGGCACUCUAAAGGGACUGCCGGUGUUAAACCGGAGGAAGGUGGGGAUGACGUCAAGUCUCAUGGCCUUUAUGACCAGGGCUACACACGUACUACAAUGGCCGAUACAAAGGGCAGCGACACUGCGAGGUGAAGCCAAUCCCGUAAAAUCGGUCUCAGUCCGGAUUGGAGUCUGCAACUCGACUCCAUGAAGUUGGAAUCGCUAGUAAUCGUGGAUCAGCAUGCCACAGUGAAUACGUUCCCGGGCCUU
rnacentral:rRNA from 1 species